rnacentral:lncRNA from 1 species
GAAGAAUACUAGAUUUGAAGAAAAAUGCCAAGCAUUAAACAAAAUGCAGGCAUUAAUUGUCAGAUUUGGGUUUGGGUUUAAUUAUUUCUAGAAUUCCCACAUUGCCAUUCUUAAUGAUGUUAACUUCCCACUGGCACUGUUUCCACCUCCUCGGUUUGCGAAAGUGACAAAGACCUGGAAUUUUCACAUUACAAAAUGCAGAUAAGCUCUUGUUUUCUAUCUACUAUUUGUGGCACAAUGUGCCCAUUGUCCCUCUGAACUUCCCUCGAUGACUUCAGAAGGAACACAAUCAGCCUGGAACUGGAACUUCAGAGUUAAGAAGCUUGCUGCUUUGUUCAUUAUUCACUCCAACAAAAUCUAAAAAAAUCCAGUGGGAUGCUGAAUGCAAAUCAGUGCAAAACUUGAUCCUUUGGGCACUAAAAACCUUGAGAAAACAGGAUGAUUUCUGCUUCACUCACUUCAGCUGAG